ACUCGGUAAUGAUUCCGUUGGGGUGACCAGCGGAGGGAUCAUUA
rnacentral:rRNA from 1 species